rnacentral:ncRNA from 1 species
AUGAUAGAGGCGCGGUUACAUGAGUACCUUCCAGCAAAGGACAGGAAUCCGGAAGGAAAAGGGGACACCGCCGAGGUAAGAUGAGAUUUCCUGAUUUCAUUUUAGCCGGUCUGUCGGAAAAUAUCCGCCGGACUGUCGCAGAAAUGCGGAGAGCUGUCA